UGCAAACAAAUCAUUAUAAACCCCAGCUUAUAAAAAUGUACCAUUCAUUGCAACAUAUAGACAGACAGAAAGAGAGUUUGACCUGCUUACAAUUUGUACUGGCCCUGCCUGAUGGACGACAAGUUGUACAUCGUGUCAAAUACAAAUUUAAAUGGCUGCAACAAGAAUUAUCCGAAACUAGAAGCAGAAAAAAUCUAAAAGAAAGAAGUGGGAAGAGUAAUUGAAAAUCAGAUGAAAACUGAGGGUUGCGUGGG